AUUGAACGCUGGCGGCAGGCCUAACACAUGCAAGUCUAACGAGUGGCGGACGGGUGAGUAAUGUCUGGUAACCUGCCCGAUGGAGGGGGAUAACUACUUGAAACGGUAGCUAAUACCGCAUACCAUCGGAUGUCCCCAGAUGGGAUUAGCUAGUAGGUGGGGUACCGGCUCACCUAGGCGACGAUCCCUAGCUGGUCUGAGAGGAUGACCAGCCACACUGGAACUGAGACAAGGUCCAGACUCCUACGGGAGGCAGCAGUGGGGAAUAUUGCACAAUGGGCGCAAGCCUGAUGCAGCCAUGCCGCGUGUAUGAAGAAGGCCUUCGGGUUGUAAAGUACUUUCAGCGAGGAGGCGUUACUCGCAGAAGAAGCACCGGCUAACUCCGUGCCAGCAGCCGCGGUAAUAC
rnacentral:rRNA from 1 species